UGCUAUCCUUUAAAGAGUAUCAUAAAAGCAUCAAUAAUUUUUUUUUUUUGUGAACCAGAGACUCAAACUUCAGUAUAGCAAGUUUUUGUGAGUGUAUUUAUUACAUUUUAAUGCAAAAAGCAUUCUUUUUUUUUUUAAUGACUUUUCACGCUCUUCAACACUGUCAGUGUUUAAAAAAAAUAGUACUAUUGGAAACAAGUUCUGCCAUGCAGAUGUAACGCUCUGACUAAGAAUUGUUUUCUGUCACAGCGAAAUGUUUUAAUAUUCAUUGUUUUUCAAUCACAAUUAACUAUGCCUAAAUGUUUUUGUGUAUUCUUUUUGUUUGAUUUGUAAAAUCAUUUUUACAAGCAGACUUAGCUGUUACUUUUUGAUUUAGAAUAAGCUCAAUAUUCAGAAUUCAGGUGAGGGCCAAUUGUUAAAACAGCAGUCUGAUUUAUGUCGAAUCCCUUCUCCAUUGGGAGAAGGAAGAAAAAUUCUGUUCAGACUGUUAAAGCAGAAUUAAAUGCAUUUAUCAUUAUAUUUUUGUGAUGGAUUGUGGCUUUUGUUCAUUUACCCUUGAAUAUCACAGCAAGUGUUUUGAUACAUCAUCAUGACUCUGCGAGUCCACUGUAGUUUAGAAUACGUUUUGUUUUACUUUGUUCUCGAAGACAAGGGUUAAAAAGAAAGUACAGUGUACUAAUUCUUGUCACCAGGAUAAUUUCCAUUUUGUUUGAAAAAUAAAAGUUUCUGAAAAAC
rnacentral:misc_RNA from 1 species